rnacentral:lncRNA from 1 species
UUCAUAUGUUCUAAAGGUACUAAUCUUUUAGAACCUAUCAGCCAAACUCGCGGUAGAAAAUAUCUUAGAGAUGAGAAAUCUAAUGGAAAGUAAGAAAUGGAAAGAUAUUCCAGAAAAUACCUCAUCUGAUAUGGAAAUAUUUGUUGCUAUAAUAGAAAAUUCCAACAAUCAAAUAGAUAUUGAAAAAGUACCAUUUCAAAUUGUACCUAAUGCCUCAAGGAAAUAGGAAACUGCUAAGAAACGUCUUGAAAAAAGGAAUUUAAAAGUUUAAAUGUUCAUCGUUCCAUUGAGUUGACACCAAAGGCCAAAAAAUGAUAUACCAAAUUAACAUCUUGGAGGAGUGAACUAUUUGGAAUGGAAAAAGAAAAUAAAUUACAAAGACAGAAUAGGUAUUGCCGAAAAACAUGUCAAUUCCCCAGAUUUUGAAAACCUCUUAAAACAUAAUUAUAGUCCUACUUAUAAGUUCAUUAAGUGCCAAGUUACCAAUUAAAAAAAGUUACCGCAAACUAGAAGGUACACUAUGGAAAAGGCAAUAAAUCUAUCUACUCUUAGAUGAAACUCUUCAAGAGUUUAACCGCAAGAACCAGGAAGAAAACAAUUUUGGAUUUUUAGUAAAUGAGCAAGAAUUAGUCCCAUUGUUUGACGUCCCGCAUUUAUUUAAGGGCAUAAGAAAUAACCUUUUAAACAAAAAUUUACAUUUUGUUCAAAAAGGGUAAACGAAAAUUGCUAAAUGGGACCAUAUUACAACUUGUAGAAUGAUAAGAGUAAAAAAUUAACAGACCAGCAUAUUAUUAUGAAAGUAAAAUGCUGUACCCAAGUGUUUAGCCACACUGUUAGAGUUCUGAUGAAAAGAAUUUCUCACUAGGGUAAGAAAAUUAAUUAUUAAUUAUUCAUAUAUCAAUACAAUCAUAUACAAGACAACUGUAAUCUACCACAUGAAGCCGAAGACACUGCGGACCUAAUUCUUUUUCUUGACAAUUUAUUUGAUAGCCUUAAUGUCAAAACCAGAUCAGCACAAUGCAAGCCACUUAAGAGGAUAGUAACUCACAAAUCCAAACAUGAGGAAUUUUGGCGCAGUGCUUCACCUAUAGUAAAAACCAUGCAGUUUCAUUGCCUUAAAAAGAACAAGUUUGUUAAUAUACGCACUCAUAAAAAUUUUCAAUUUACGUUAAAUGGUUUCUUGCAACUAAGAAGGAUUCUAUUAAAUGUCUUUAACUUUAAAUUUAUUUUCAGUGCUUCAUUCAAUCAGGAUCCGCUGGGAAAUUUUUUUUAGUUCAUUCGCAGCCAUGGUGUUAGAAACAAUAAUCCAAAUGUAAGUCACUUCACAACAUCUUUCAAGACAUUAUUAGUUGAUAAUUUUUUGGCUGCACACUCUCCUGCAUCUAACUGUAUUAAACAUUCUUGUGAAGAAUCUUUAGACGACUUAAGAUGUUUCUUAAUAAAUGAGGUGGAACCUGAUAUAAUGCCUUUGGAAAAUAUUGAUUCCAUUGAGAUAGUAGAAGUUCCUAAGGAAAUACAUUUAAACAGACAAACUAAGUAAACUUCGAAUAUAAUAGUUUAUAUAAACGGCUAUAUUGCAAAUGUUCUUUUUAAGGGAAAACCUAAUUUUUGUCUUAUUUGCAAAAACAACUUAUUAUAUCGCGAUGGAUGAUGAGGUACUCGAGUGUAGACAAUAUGGCACAUUUAGUCAAACCUCAUAAUUUUUUAAAUUACCUAAUAUCCAUAUCUCUUGGAAUAUUAUCUUAUUUGAUUCCAAGGAAUUGUAUAUCGACCCUAUUAAAGUUCUAACUCAUCAAAAAUACUUAUCUCGACAAAAGCAAAGAAGUCAAAAACCGUAUUAAAAAAUUUUGAACAUACAUAGGAUUAAGUGGAGUAGCUGUAGGCUAGACUUCUAAUAUUAUAGUGUUUUAUUUGUUUAUUCAAUUUUUAUUGCAUUUAUAGACUAUGCAUUUAUUAGAUUAUACAACUUAAUAAAGACGGCUUAUUAUUAUAAAUGCAAAAGAUCUAUUUUCAUAUAUUUAUGUUCUGCAUUUAUGCAUACUUAACUUUCUUAUUUUAAAUUGACCAAAUUGUAUAUUAUUAUUAUACUAGUUUUUAAUUCUAUGUAAUUAUCAGCCUGGAUAAAAUAAUGUAUAUUUUUAUAUCUACGUCACCAAUAAUAAAUUAUUAUUCGUGAAAUCACAGAAACCGUACAUGUAUCAGAGACAAUAACUCUUUUUUUGCUGCGUGUAUGUUUUGUCUAUUUGGCAUAGACAUAAUGCAAAAUAGACAAUACAUACAAAAGGUCGCCAAGAAAUGAUGAGUCGAAAAUUCACCUCCGAAAUGUAAUAAUAUUUCUUCAGGUGACCUGAAUAUUGAUUGAAAUAUUAUAGGAAAAUUAAUUAGUAUAAUUAGUAUGUUCAUUUAUCAAUAUUUGGUGAAGGGGUCGGGAUAUAUUUUUACAGGCAUCUCUGCUAGUUCGGAUCGCAUCCACCGUUUUUGUGGCCUUUUGUUCCGCAGAACUUUAUUCAGAGGUUUGUCUUCUAUCCUUGGUCUGUUUUCUGUGGACUAGCGGUUGACGGUUACGAUUGUCGAUUGCCGUUGAGCAGAGGACCAAUGGGAGCUCAGCUCGCUCUGGUUGCCUGUUCGGUCGCCAGUUUAGCCGCGCAUCUAUUUCCAACCAUCCAGUUUCUAAUUGAAGCCAAUAGCGAGCAGCAUAGAGAUCACGAGAUCAAGUGAUAAACAUUAAACUUAACCUUCAAAUUAUUCAAUGUUUAGUUCAAAAACAUAGAAAUUUGUGAUAGAAAUCAAGAAAUAAAUUAUUUCUUACACGAGUAGGAGUCUAAAAAAUGCCACCAAAACUUAAAUCAUGGACUUUAGAUAACGAAUUUAACCUAAUCAAUAAGGUCAAAAACAGACCUCUUUUGUGGGACGUGACUUUGGCCGAAUAUCGUCGAAACGAUUUAAAAGAAGUUCACUGGAAGGAGAUAGCCAGUGUAUUGGGUCCCGGUUUUACCGGGCCAAUUGUAAAAAAAAGAUACCUACAUAUGCGAGAUAUCUUCAUGGAUAACUACAGGAAAGUAAAAGAGUUUAAGCGUAGUGGAAAUGGGACUGAUAGUGUUUAUAUCCCCAAGUGCACUUUUUACCACUCCCUUUCAUUUUUACUGAAAGUAGCACAUCAAAGUGUAAGCAUAUCAACAAUGUAACCCAUAUGCUUUACUGCAGCCACUACAUCCAGCUUGGAAGCUCGGAGUAACAUUUCAAGCAAUGUCAUUGCAUACUUUGAUGAAAACAUGCAGAGGUUCGUGGCAACUCCUAAAGAUCAAUCGUCAUCUCCUUUUCCGUUGAACAUUACAACUGCGGAAAGCUCGAGUGCUGCAGAACCGCUGGCUUUAUAGUAGCUCAUAUGGUAAUUCUAGUGACCGCAAUUCUGGUAUUGUUCCUUCUCCAUUUCCGUCACCAUCGUCACAUUUAGAAAUGAGAGAAAGUAUGUUUAACAAAAGGGGGGGGGUCAAAAGACGAAAAGGGACCGUCACUGAGGACCUAGUAAAAAAAAUUGCAUCAGAGCCUGCAAAUAUUAUACCAAAUGAAGAUUCAGCAGAUAAGUUUAGUGCAUUUGUGGCAUCAAAAUUGCGAGAAAUGAAGCCAAACAGACGAAACGCCGUUGAGGCUAAAAUAGUACAAGCUCUUUACGAAGAAGAUAGUAAUAUAUAUGAUAUACAAUAAAAAAGUAUUUAUCACUUGCUUUCAUUAAUUUUACCAUAUACAAAUUCAUUUUAAAAAUGCAAAUCUCACUAGCUUAAAUCCAUCUAAUUAAAUACAGAUCCUAAGUUGAUAUGAAAUAUAA